rnacentral:lncRNA from 1 species
UUGGUCGUCGGCAUGGCAAGCAGCGGCGGCGGCGCGGCCUCGUCCUCGCUGGAGGAGGAGUCGGUGGCGUCGGCGUCGUGCACGAUGAUCCGCACCACGCGGCCCCUGGGCGGCGGCGCCGCCUCCGCCGCCGCCGCGGCGGCCAGCAUGUCCAGGCUAGGGUUGGGCCCCAUGCCUCGUGUCUCGGCUCAAUCCAUCCUCGCGCGCGAUCGGGGGCGCUCAGCCUCGGCGCCCCGCCAUGGGCGGCGGCGGCGGGAAGGGGAAGGGGGNNNNNNNNNNNNNNNNNNNNNNNNNNNNNNNNNNNNNNNNNNNNNNNNNNNNNNNNNNNNNNNNNNNNNNNNNNNNNNNNNNNNNNNNNNNNNNNNNNNNNNNNNNNNNNNNNNNNNNNNNNNNNNCGGUGGAAGCCGGAGGACGAGUGGCGGAGGAGGCGGGGGCUAAAAGGGGGGAAAUGGGUGGGGGCGGAGCACGGGUCGGUUGAGGGGCAGUAUCGGGAUUUCCCGUUUUCAUUUCUUCUGGUCCUGGGCUCCUGGCCCUGGCCCUGGCCCUGGGAAGUAGUAUCGCGGCACGGAUCAAAGGGAGCGCGUGGAUAUUCUCGAGGGCUGGGGCUUACCUCGGAACAAAGAAAGAAAUGUGGGGAGGCGAAAUUCAAAUUCGUGGGGUGGACUACUGGCUCCUUGCGUUGCCGAGGAGGAUAAGAACGACCACUUGGAGGUUCUCUCAAAUGGUUAUCGGGAAUUUGGGAUAAACCAUGUGGACUAAGACUAGAUGCGCAAGUUUGAGGCAAAAUGGACAAAAAUAAUCCCAAAAUGUAACAAAUUCACAAAAUAAACUCUCUUGGAAACUAUCUCACUCAACUAACAUUUUCAGGUAGCGUCCAACGCGUCGGUGCUAUGCCCUAUGUCAUAGCGUCUUUCUCACACGCGCUACGCUGCUUGAUAGCGUGGCGUCGUGAGCCAGGUCGGGCCUCACCCAUGGUUAAGUAUCGUCGUCUGAAGCAUAGGUGGUAUCCCAUAUGUGGCAUAGCGUGUGAGACAGCAAAAAGUCUAAUUUAAACAUUAAACUUGUAUCUGUCAGGCGGAAUGAACCCCCGAGUCAAAAUCCCGGUCGAUUGCACCCUGAACUAUGCAAUCCCGGUCUAAAUCGAACCCUCACCUUCUGUCAACUGGAAUUUAUCUCGAGAACCGACCCAUUUUAAUUUUUCCGUUAAAAAAAGGGCGCACUUAAGUUUCAUUUCGUUAAAAAAAUAAUGCAUGGGUGGCUUCCUUUUUCUUCCUUUUUUCUUAAAUUUUUUAAUCUUUUUCAAAUAGUUCAUGCAGGGCGCAAAUUAUUCACGCCGUGCGGCAUGCAAAACAUUUCCUAAAUAUGCAAUAAACAGUUUAGCAAUACACAAUAAACUUUGUAUAAUAUAAGAGAAAAUAAACAGUAACAAGAAAAGAAUGUACGUUGCAUUUGAAAAAUGUUCACGCAUUUCAAAAUAAUGUUUGGGACAUUUAGAAAAAUGUAUACGAUGUAUUGAAUUUUUUCAAUUUUUUUUUAUAAGGCAUGAAUUUUUAAUUCAUUUUUGAAGCCAUAUUUUUUCAAUUUGUUUCUUUUCUUUUUUUCUACUUUUUUAUUUUAAGGCGCGAAAUUUUUACAAUUUGUUUUUUUAAUCCAUGAAACUUUUUAUUAAACUUGUGGACUUUUUCGAAUCUGAGAACUUUCUUCAAAACUACAGCCGUUACCUCUUUUUCGUUUUGAAAAUCUAGUUCACGACAUGCAUCAUCACCAUACAUACAGUGGCACACGUACGUACGUGCGGUGGCGCAUGUACGUAUGUACAGUGGAAUGCAUAUGUAUAUGCAGUGACGCGUGUACGUAUGUACAGUGGCGCACGUGCGUGCGUACGGUUGCUAUUUUAAAAAUGAAAAACAGAAAAAAAAAAAGACAGAAAAAAGGAAAGAAGGAAAGACAGAAAAAAGAAAAAAAGAAGAAGUGGACCGGCCCAACUAAAAACAGUGUGAAAUAGCAUCAAUCCCGGUCAUCUUUCGGUAAUCCUUGUUUGACAAACGACGUGAGGGUUUAAUUUAGACCGGGAUUGCAUAGUUCAGGGUGCAAUCAACCGGGAUUUUGAUUUAAGGGUUCAUUUCGCCGGAUCUCUACGAAUUCAAGGUUUAAAAUGGACUUUUUCCCGUGAGACAAAGGCGCUAUCCUACCGAGUGUAACACCCAAGAUGCGAUCAUAUCCUUAUUUUGGUGCGAGGGCCUCUACAGGGAUAGAAACGCAUCUCGUCGUUUCGCAAGAAUGGAUAUCGUUAGAAGUACAUGUACUGAAGAGAAGAGUAUAUGGAAUUGGCUUACACUUGCCACAUGCUACUUCAGAGUCACAUGAGUACAAAUACAUAAAUAUCACGAAGAUGAGCAGGGUCCGACUACGGACGAAAACAAACAAGAAAAGAACGACAUCCAUCCUUGCUAUCCCAGGCUGCCGGCCUGGAACCCAUCCUAGAUUGAUGAUGAAGAAGAAGAAGCAACUCCAAAUGAACAAUCAUCGCGCUCACGUCUUAAUAGCACUUUACCUAAACCUGCAACUGGUGUUGUAGUAAUCUGUGAGCCACAAGGGACUCAACAAUCUCAUUUCCAAAGGUAUCAAGACUAGCAAAGCUUAAUGGAUGAGGUAUGGUUAAGUGGUGAGGCUGCAGAAGCGACUAAGCAAUAUAUGAGGUGUCUAACUUACGAGUACAAGAAUAAGAGGGGAUGAUCUACGCAUAACGGACGUGAACUACUGAUGAUCAAAUGAAUGAUCAUGAACACCUACUUACGUCAAACAUACCCCCACCGUGUUCUCGGUCGGAGAAGGAACUCGCGAAAGAGACAAUCACGGUUACGCACUCAGUUGGGAAGUUUUAAGUAAGAUUACUUCAAGUUAUCUAGAACGAGUGUUAAACAAAGUUUCCACGUUGCCACAUAACCGCGGGCACGGAUUUUCGAAAGAUUUAACCCUACAGGGGUGCUCCAACUAGUCCAUCACAAAUUACCACAAGCCGCAUAGAAAUCCUCGAUCACGAAGCUCGCGACCUCGUCGGACUCCUUAGUGGAAAACCUCAACUUUGAGAUUACGCAAAGCAUCACCGAAAUCUCGAUGCACAAGACAUUCGUUAAAGGUAAAACUAAUCCAGCAAGGCCGCUCGACAUGUCGACGAUCCCGAUAGGAGUCGCGUAUCUCGUUCUCAGGACACGACAGAUAAGCACGGCGUACGGUGGCCUGAUAGACAUCUCCCGAGUUGCCUCGGGUUGGCCCCGCAAACGGCUCUGUUUUGGACCAGCACCAUCAGCAUUGGCCCUUCCUGUAUUAUGUUGAAUUACUCCUUGGGUAGCGCUAACUCCCUAUGCUUUCAGUAUUAACAUAAUUAUUAUGUUGGGCAAAUAUAGAACCAUGACCUCUCCGAUGAUGCGUGAGUAGUUCACCAUAGACCUACGGGGCCAGCAUGUCCAGGCUAGGGUUGGGCCCCAUGCCUCGUGUCUCGGCUCAAUCCAUCCUCGCGCGCGAUCGGGGGCGCUCAGCCUCGGCGCCCCGCCAUGGGCGGCGGCGGCGGGAAGGGGAAGGGGGAGGGGAGGCUAGGGUUAGGGUUUCGUCCGUCGG